rnacentral:RNase_P_RNA from 1 species
UUAGUAAGACAGAUGGUCGCGGCUGCACAGACGAAAGGGUGCAGGUGAGGAAAGUCCGGGCUUCAUAGGGCAGGGUGCCAGAUAACGUCUGGUGGAGGUGACUCCAAGGCUAGUGCAACAGAAAUAAACAGCAUUGCCCGCAAGGGCGGUGUGAUGGUGGAAAGGCAGUGUAAGAGACUACCGCCUCUCUGGUAACAGCGAGGGCAUAUGUAAACCCCACUCGAAGCAAGACCGAAUAGAAACGUUUAAAAGCUGCCCGCUUAGUUUCAGGUAGGUCGCUUGAUUCUAAUGGCGACAUUAGAACUAGAUAGAUGAUCAUCUAAUACAUAACCCGGCUUAUAGUUUUGCUGAAUAU